rnacentral:tRNA from 3 species
UGGGGAUUCGUCUAGUGGUAGGACGACAGACUCUGGAUCUGUAAGCAGAGGUUCGAAUCCUCUAUCCCCAGCCA